AGUGUGUGAACAUCCAUCCUGAUUGCCCUUGGAGGGAGGCUGAAGCAAAAACGGUGACUUUUUUGCCUUGCCUACCUGUGUUUCUCAAAAGUAAAGGAAAAAGAGCUCCUUGCAACCAGGAAGUGCUCUCCCUGCUACCCAAGACUCUGGGGAUAAUGCCAGCUUCUUUUCAGGGCUGCCUCAAGCACGCCUGUGACUUGGAUGGGAAUUUUGCACUCAUCUUAGAAACACUGUGUGGG